rnacentral:rRNA from 1 species
GACGAACGCUGGCGGCGUGCUUAACACAUGCAAGUCGAACGGUAAGGCCCCAGCUUGCUGGGGUACACGAGUGGCGAACGGGUGAGUAACACGUGGGUGACCUGCCCCGCACUUCGGGAUAAGCCUGGGAAACUGGGUCUAAUACCGGAUAGGACCGCACCGUGAGGGUGUGGUGGAAAGUUUUUCGGUGUGGGAUGGGCCCGCGGCCUAUCAGCUUGUUGGUGGGGUAAUGGCCUACCAAGGCGGCGACGGGUAGCCGGCCUGAGAGGGUGGACGGCCACAUUGGGACUGAGACACGGCCCAGACUCCUACGGGAGGCAGCAGUGGGGAAUAUUGCACAAUGGGCGGAAGCCUGAUGCAGCGACGACGCGUGGGGGAUGACGGCCUUCGGGUUGUAAACUCCUUUCACCAUCGACGAAGGUUUUCUGACGGUAGAUGGAGAAGAAGCACCGGCUAACUACGUG